GGAAAAAUGGCCAGCCAAACAAGUGCUUUUAAAAUGAAUAGGAAUGCUAAUGGAUAGCGUUUUCUUCCAGCUACUUUCUAAUUCAGAAAGCCUAAACUGCAGCUCGAGGAAGGAAAGCUAAUGACUAGCCUUAACGGAGAAUGGCAUGGUGGGGGAGCUGUCAGUCAAAACGUGUCAGUGGCCGUAUGUGGCAACAAUUAACGCCUACAAGAUAAGAAGCUGGCCAACAAAUUCCAUGCUGACAAGCAAUUCACACAUGCAAGUUUGCCAAGCCAAGUUCUGACAGGUGUUAAAAUGCAGACGCGGAUGUGAACACUCGCAUAGAACCAUCUAGGCCACUGGCAGAGAAGAAGACUGAUCGCAUAUGUGUGGAUGGUUUGCACUUUCUAGCUGCAAGAGAAUUCAGAGCCAAUGGCGUCUUCUGCCCAAUAAAGCGCUGUCACUUCUCUACAGUCAUCAGACUUUGUGCUUUCCAUUUAAGGGAUUCAUGUUCACACACUCAGCUAUCACAUCAGCAUCAGAAAUGUCAAGCGGAAAGAGAGAAGUCAGGCCGUGCAAGUGGUCUCGCCUAGAAUCUGCAAUCACAGAUACAAAGUCCUUUCAAGAAAGUUACAACCAAGUAAACAACUGGCUACUCUCAGCUCAGGACAUUCAAAGGUCAUGGAUGUGUCAAAGGAUGUGCAAAUGUCAGAGAAAAAAAUAAAUAAGACAGUCUCAUAGCAGUGGACUGGACCAAUGUUCAGCAUUAUUUGGAGAAACAUAAAGAGAAGAUAAAUGGUUGAAUCUCAUUCGACUACAAA